rnacentral:rRNA from 1 species
AGAGCGAACGCUGGCGGCAGGCCUAACACAUGCAAGUCGAACGGACUCUUCGGAGUUAGUGGCGGACGGGUGAGUAACACGUGGGAACGUGCCUUUAGGUUCGGAAUAGCUCCUGGAAACGGGUGGUAAUGCCGAAUGUGCCCUUCGGGGGGAAAGAUUUAUCGCCUUUAGAGCGGCCCGCGUCUGGUUAGCUAGUUGGUGAGGUAAAGGCUCACCAAGGCUACGAUCAGUAGCUGGUCUGGGAGGAUGACCAGCCACAUUGGGACUGAGACACGGCCCAAACUCCUACGGGAGGCAGCAGUGGGAAUCUUGCGCAAUGGGCGAAAGCCUGACGCAGCCAUGCCGCGUGAAUGAUGAAGGUCUUAGGAUUAGUAAAUUCUUUCAGUAGGGACGAUAAUGACGGUACUACAGAAGAAGCCCGACUAACUUCGCGCCAGCAGCCGC